AGUGAACGCUGGCGGUAGGCCUAACACAUGCAAGUCGAACGGCAGCACAGUAAGAGCUUGCUCUUAUGGGUGGCGAGUGGCGGACGGGUGAGGAAUACAUCGGAACCUACUUUUUCGUGGGGGAUAACGUAGGGAAACUUACGCUAAUACCGCAUACGACCUACGGGGGAAAGCAGGGGAUCUUCGGACCUUGCGCGAUUGAAUGAGCCGAUGUCGGAUUAGCUAGUUGGCGGGGUAAAGGCCCACCAAGGCGACGAUCCGUAGCUGGUCUGAGAGGAUGAUCAGCCACACUGGAACUGAGACACGGUCCAGACUCCUACGGGAGGCAGCAGUGGGGAAUAUUAGACAAUGGGGGCAAGCAUGAUCCAGCCAUACCGCGUGGGUGAAGAAGGCCUUCGGGUUGUAAUGCCCUUUUGUUGGGAAAGAACAGCAGCAGGUUAAUACCCCGCUGUUCUGACGGUACCCAAAGAAUAAGCACCGGCUAACUUCGUG
rnacentral:rRNA from 1 species